CCUUCGGGUGUGACUGCGUACCUUUUGUAUAAUGGGUCAGCGACUUAUAUUCUGUAGCAAGGUUAACCGUAUAGGGGAGCCGCAGGGAAACCGAGUCUUAACUGGGCGUUAAGUUGCAGGGUAUAGACCCGAAACCCGGUGAUCUAGCCAUGGGCAGGUUGAAGGUUGGGUAACACUAACUGGAGGACCGAACCGACUAAUGUUGAAAAAUUAGCGGAUGACUUGUGGCUGGGGGGGAAAGGCCAAUCAAACCGGGAGAUAGCUGGUUCUCCCCGAAAGCUAUUUAGGUAGCGCCUCGUGAACUCAUCUUCGGGGGUAGAGCACUGUUUCGGCUAGGGGGUCAUCCCGACUUACCAACCCGAUGCAAACUACGAAUACCGAAGAAUGUUAUCACGGGAGACACACGGCGGGUGCUAACGUCCGUCGUGAAGAGGGAAACAACCCAGACCGCCAGCUAAGGUCCCAAAGUCAUGGUUAAGUGGGAAACGAUGUGGGAAGGCACAGACAGCCAGGAUGUUGGCUUAGAAGCAGCCAUCAUUUAAAGAAAGCGUAAUAGCUCACUGGUCGAGUCGGCCUGCGCGGAAGAUGUAACGGGGCUAAACCAUGCACCGAAGCUG
rnacentral:rRNA from 1 species